UGCCUAAUACAUGCAAGUCGAACGAACUCUGGUAUUGAUUGGUGCUUGCAUCAUGAUUUACAUUUGAGUGAGUGGCGAACUGGUGAGUAACACGUGGGAAACCUGCCCAGAAGCGGGGGAUAACACCUGGAAACAGAUGCUAAUACCGCAUAACAACUUGGACCGCAUGGUCCGAGCUUGAAAGAUGGCUUCGGCUAUCACUUUUGGAUGGUCCCGCGGCGUAUUAGCUAGAUGGUGGGGUAACGGCUCACCAUGGCAAUGAUACGUAGCCGACCUGAGAGGGUAAUCGGCCACAUUGGGACUGAGACACGGCCCAAACUCCUACGGGAGGCAGCAGUAGGGAAUCUUCCACAAUGGACGAAAGUCUGAUGGAGCAACGCCGCGUGAGUGAAGAAGGGUUUCGGCUCGUAAAACUCUGUUGUUAAAGAAGAACAUAUCUGAGAGUAACUGUUCAGGUAUUGACGGUAUUUAACCAGAAAGCCACGGCUAACUACGUGCCAGCAGCCGCGGUAAUACGUAGGUGGCAAGCGUUGUCCGGAUUUAUUGGGCGUAAAGCGAGCGCAGGCGGUUUUUUAAGUCUGAUGUGAAAGCCUUCGGCUCAACCGAAGAAGUGCAUCGGAAACUGGGAAACUUGAGUGCAGAAGAGGACAGUGGAACUCCAUGUGUAGCGGUGAAAUG
rnacentral:rRNA from 1 species